AGCAGCCGCGGUAAUUCCAGCUCCAAUAGCGUAUAUUAAAGUUGUUGCAGUUAAAAAGCUCGUAGUUGAAUUUCGGGAUCAAUAUGUCGGUCGUGCCUCGGUACGCACUGGCUUAUUGGUUUCUCCCUUCUGACGAACCAUGAUGUCAUUAAUUUGGUGUCUUGGGAAAUCAGGACUGUUACUUUGAAAAAUUGAGUGUUUAAAGCAGGCUCACGCUUGAAUACAUUAGCAUGGAAUAAUGAAAUAGGACGUUUGAUUCUAUUUUGUUGGUUUCUAGGAUCGACGUAAUGAUUAAUAGGGAUAGUUGGGGGCAUUAGUAUUCAAUUGUCAGAGGUGAAAUUCUUGGAUUUAUUGAAGCUAA
rnacentral:rRNA from 1 species